rnacentral:rRNA from 1 species
GAUGAACGCUGGCGGCGUGCCUAAUACAUGCAAGUCGAGCGAACAGACGAGGAGCUUGCUCCUCUGACGUUAGCGACGGACGGGUGAGUAACACGUGGAUAACCUACCUAUAAGACUUGGAUAACUUCGGGAAACCGGAGCUAAUACCGGAUAAUAUAUUUAACCGCAUGGUUCAAUAGUGAAAGACGGUUUUGCUGUCACUUAUAGAUGUAUCCGCGCCGCAUUAGCUAGUUGGUAAGGUAACGGCUUACCAAGGCAACGAUGCGUAGCCGACCUGAGAGGGUGAUCGGCCACACUGGAACUGAGACACGGUCCAGACUCCUACGGGAGGCAGCAGUAGGGAAUCUUCCGCAAUGGGCGAAAGCCUGACGGAGCAACGCCGCGUGAGUGAUGAAGGUCUUCGGAUCGUAAAACUCUGUUAUUAGGGAAGAACAAAUGUGUAAGUAACUAUGCACGUCUUGACGGUACCUAAUCAGAAAGCAACGGCUAACUACGUG